rnacentral:lncRNA from 1 species
GGAUGUAGUAGUAGGAGUAACAAAAUAGUAGUGGUAGGAGUAGUAACGUAAUGCUGGAGCAAGUAGCAGCAGCAGCAGAGACGUGGUGGUGGUAGAAGUAGGUAUAACUGACGUGGUAGCGGAAGAUUCAGUAUCCAGAAGUAGACAUUGUAUAAAAGAGGAAGAGAGAGAGUAGAAGGGAAGGAUUAAGUGGGAGUAUGAGCGAACUCCACGUCCCUCCUACCACUACACUACGCUAAACCACAAGGAAGCCUCUACAUGGUCUAUCAGCCUGCUAGAAACAACAGCCAAUUUCCCGCGAUCAUAUCUUGAUGUUAUAAAAAAAAUCCGAAAAUAAUGCGAUGGUCGUAUUUGGAACAUCUUUGAUCAUAGACCUGCUCAUCAAGGUUUGCCUUGGGCUGAACAAUACUAAGGAUUUCGCCACAAUAUUUCACUACAACUACCAACAAUAUAAUCCAAAUAUUACUUAGCACCUGCCAAGGACUAAAUCUAUUCACCUUAUUGAGGAAUAUCUUGAAAUAACAUUAGAAUCGUUUGUUUGUUUCUCUUUUAUUUUAUUUAAUGUUCCAGUUCAGUGUUUUGUGCGGAUAAUUCUGUAAAAAUCGAUUUUGAUUUCAUUAAAAUUGGAUGUCCCACCGAACACUCUCCUCUCUUCGUUCAUUAGACAACAACCGAGGGAUUUCUGUGGGUUUUGACGAAUCCACCCGAAAGCUGAGACGUGUAACCGAUCCGUAUUUUUAGUGUGACUAACCCCACUUUCAAACUCCCUUUUAUACACUUUAAAAUCGGUGUCACACGAGCACGUGUAUUUAACAGAAUUUGCUUUAUGUAAGGCCCAAAGGGACCACAGUCAUUAGACUGCGGCCAUGCUGGGACACCACCUUGACAUUGUUGAAUGUAUCUUUGCAUUUUCAAGACAGUCGUGUACGAUUUGAGAGAAAUUUGACUGCGAUAUCUAGUAGGUCGAACAACUAUGUUGAAGAUCCUUCGUAAUGGUAGAUGUAUCUACCAGGAAAAGAAAAAAAUCCACAAAUAAUGAUGUUAAAGAGAGAAAAAGCGGAGUAAAUAAUCUUCACUCAACUUUCAUUACAGAAAGUGAAUGACUAUUUCUACUAUUGUAUUUUGCGUUAUUGAAUGUAAAUAAAUUUCAUUAUUUUGGUCAGAUAUUCUGCAACAGAAGAAGAAACCCAGUACUUUUGCUCAUUAUUAACCAGAAUAAUUUUACAACUUCCAUACAUUCAAUUUGCGAUUAUUAAGUGAGCCGGUAAUUAGUUUUAAGAAUUAUUUUAAUUAAUGACACUUAAAAAGACAUGUUAAAUUUCAAUUACGCCGCUUCUCUCCCAUUAUACCUGAACGAGUAUCAGCGAAUAUCAUUGGUUUACUCUACCUCUAUUAUAUUUCCUGCUGGAAAAAUGGGUCUUGUCUAUUUUGACUACCACCGAAGUUCCAUUCUUCAAGUCCGUGUCAUCACUUUGGAUAGGAAGUUGUCCAAUAAAACGAAUACCCUCAUCUUUGCACAACUGGGCCCAGUCGCUGCCAGUUUUCGCAGCAGUAUCUUGCAAUAGCAUAUCUUUAGUCCAAGAAUAAAUGAAAAUCACUAACUGUGACAGAUCCAGCUUAGAUUUAUCAAAGACCGAAUCAGUUCUUAUAGACUUCCUAUUUUUACAACGGCUGCAGUACCACCUAUAUUUGUCUUCGCAACCUGUAUAUUUAUUUACACCACAUGGAAUGUUGCAUGUCGUGCAUGUGUAUGUGUUUCUAAUCAACCGACGUUUGGCCAACCAUUCCAAAAUAUCCAAAGAACCCGGAUCACCAAUUGACUUAGACAAAGAAUUUAAGGUCCACUUUUCAUCUCGGAUUUCUGCAUCUGUCAAAACUUGGUCGACAAUUUUCAGUUUCUGCUUUGGACCUCUACGAGCCAUGUUAAAUGAUUUGCUAAUAAAACUAUUUUAUUUCUCAUCUUAUGCACUGUAUAUCAGCUAGUUUACAAUUUGUUGUCCAAUCUCAUCUAAACUUUGGUAAAAUGAAAGCAAAAACGGCGUAAUUAAAAUUGGAAUCAGCAGUAAUGGAGAAAGUCAAAAAUCCGACAUGGAUUUCAUGAAUUGCCGAAACGAAAAGAAAUAAGAAUGAAAUGCUUUAAAAUAACCAAAGUAGACCUCCCACUCCAACUUUUGUUAUUCCUUUUUAACUGUCAAAGUAAUUUUCAGAUUUUUCUGAUUUUUGACAUGGGAUUGUGCAAAAUUAAAUUAAUGAAAACAAAAGAAAUUGUUAAAAAUAUCAAAAUUUAUUUACCCCUCCCCCAACAUACAUAAAGCGUGAAUCGUGAGGAAACACAAAUUUCUUAGAAUUACAUAAAAACAGGCGAAACACGACUGACUGUGCCUUCAUAUUAGCUCUUUACCAUAUUUGUUAACUAUAUUCCAGAUUUAUUUAGUCUCAGCACCAAUUAUAUACAGUAGGAUUAUAUUACACAAAUAGAGA